rnacentral:lncRNA from 1 species
GGGCUUACUUAGCAGAGCCACCAGGAUGAAGAGGCUGCUGUGGAAACUGGCCGAAGACCAAGGACAGGCUGUGUGGGAGGAAACUUGGGUAAUCAUCAGGAUAUUGGGUUCUGUGUGGUGAUUAUCUUCUCAAAGUUUUAAUAGUAUUUCAACAAAGACUGUCCGUUUCCCUUUUCCACUGAGCCUCGUGGUUUAUAAAAUGUCUGUGGGGGCUGCUAUGGGAGACCUGGGAAAGCCUCAUCUGGAAUUGAGAGCCUAAGCUCCUCUGUACUAUAUGGCCAUCACUUGGGAUGUUUAGAAAACAGAGUCUACCCCACCCAGGCUCCGCCCAGGUUCCCCCAGGCUCCGCCCACGCCCUGCCCACACUCCACAUAAUUCUUACUCAUCAGGUGGGAGAAUAGAGGAGUGUUUCCCCAGCUUGUGGCUGGCUGGCCUUUGAGAAGUCCUGCGGGGCCGUGGCUCCUCUGCUCCAGGCCUGUCCUGGGUGCAGCCCUGCAGUAUCACAAGACCCGAGGGCAGAGACUGGAUCUGAUUUCUCUGUGAGAUAGGAUAGUGCCCUAGACACACCAUCCCCUCUACCUCAUUCAGGCUAAAAAUAAAAAACAAAAGACAAAGGAACAAACCAGCCCCCAUAUAAGAUCUUGUUUUAUCAUUAGCUUCUCAUGCCAGGGGCUAAGAUACCUCUGGACUGACCAACACAAACCAGUUCUUUCUAACCACAGUGGGAUGGAUGCAGGAGAGCAGCUAUGUCUCCUGGUUGAAAGGAAUCUGCUGUCCCCUGAUCUCUGGGGACAGCUUGACAAUGACACUUUUAUUACAGCCCCAUUCAAAGCAGAUUAGCUAUUUUACAUGCCUGAUGCCUUAAAAAGAUGUAUAAACGAGUCAAAUUCAUUUUCGAUAGCCUCAUUUUUCUGAUGUGUGAAGAGCGUUGCCUGCCCGUGUGUUCCGGGAAGUCCUCCUGUGUUUACUGGUGUGUCAGGUCAGGGAUGAGCCUGCUUUCCCGGCACUGAGCCAAGCCUGAGAUGGGAACAGGCUCUUGAGGCCACAUGGGGCUCUGUGGGGGCGAGGCAAUUGAUGGAGACCUCCUCAUCUGCUAGCAGCUUCUAGAGGAGAAGGAUGUGGGGGUGGAGAAGUGCAGCUCUGUCUUCAAAAACCACUAGCAAAAAUACUCUAUAAAAGAAAAUAAAAACAUAGAAUAGUCUUUUUUUUUUUUUUCAUGGUCAGAGACCUGUUUAUACUAUCUAAAAAGUUGUUCAGGACCUCAAAUAGUUACAGAUUACGUGCGAUCAGUACCUACUGCAACAAAUGUUUUAAGUACUUAUAUAAUCUCUAUUAUGUGUUAAUAUAAAUAUUCCAUUUUGUGGAGAUAGCUAUUUUCUGAAGCAAACAAAAGCUGAGUAUGGGACAUAGAACAGUUUUACUCUGUGUGUGUAUGUGUGUGUGUGUGUGUGUGUGUGUUACUAGAAGAGGAAUUCCGCCAUCUGUUGAUUAUCUCAUGUGAGAUACCUCUAGAAAACUCUACCAGAUAUUUAUGAGAGAACAGGAGCAAACAUUGUCCUAGUGUUUUCUCAGACAGCACCUGGCCAGAUGGCAGGACACACGGGGGAACCACUGUUGGGCUGAGAGCCUCCCUGAUAGGGACCAAAAGGAAUCUCUAAAGGAGCAAUGCGGCUCAGCACACGGACCAGGAAGCAGAGAGAAGGUCAGAACAGAAAAGGCGGUGUCUGCUGGAGACGAAAAGGGGUCCAGACCCUGUGAGGAAACUUGAUAAAAAAAGAAAAAAAAAGUAAUGAAAAUCCAAGAAGACCUUUUCUGGCCAUCCUUGUGUUUAAACAUAGCAUUCCAUGUUGGAAAGAAGGUAACACUUUCUGGUUCUGGACCGUGGCUCAUACCCACAGCUGAUGUCUACUCCAACAUCAUGGCAGAGAAUACCACACUGUGGCUAAUGCCACGGACAUUCCAGGAAGCCUUGGAUAAGUGAGGGGAGAAGUGUUCUAUGCUGGAAAAAGUCUCCACCCCACAGCAAACCUCGAUGUGGGGGAGAGCCGACUAGGUGGGCAGGUGCUGUGCCUUUCCAGAAGCUCAUUUCUGAAUGGUUGGCAUCCCUGAGAUGUGCUUUCCAGAGCCCAGCAACAGAGCCCAGCAGGCUGGAGCAAGAGAUCAGGCUCGCAUGCAAAGAAGCAAGGAGCACUGUCAGCCAGAAGGAUUCUCUCUCUAUAUAUAGAUAUAGAUAGAUAUUGUGGUCAAGCUCAGAGUCAGCUAUGAGGGGAUUUCUCAGCCCUGCAUCUGGGGGUCAUUUAAUAUCCAGCUCACCGCGCCACGCCCCUCCCCCCAGGUUUUCUUAUGCCUGUGUUGUCCUUCAAUGGAUCUGGCUGCAUUCUCUGCUCCUCCAGGUCUCAGUGAGAAGCAGGCACAGGAACUCUCUCGUGAACUCAUUUGCUCUCCCGGUUCCCUCUGCACCUGCUGCCUCUAAGGGCCCGGUGAAUCCAGCCGUUUCCACAGCAAACAGUCAUAAACAGCCAGAAGCGACCCAGCACUCAGCACUUCCGGUGCAGAAGCAGGGUGGGGAGUCGCUGCUUUGGCAGAGCCCAUUUCCAUACAGAUGUUUUCAGCCAUAAAACCGGAGGCUUGAAGAGCAAGAAGUGGGUCGGGUUGCAAAUGACAAGGCCUGCGAAGGACAUUAGGCUGAAGUUCAGACCGUGAUUCAGAGCUUCCUCAGGGCUAACCUGCACCUCACAGCCGGUCAGCUGGGGGCCAGAGGUUUGGGAAAGUGGGAAGUAGCUGAAGGAGCUGAAACCAAAGAGGCCCACCCUGGUUGUGCAAACACAGACCCCCCCCACACACACACACCUUUACCAAACAUACCUACUGUGGUAUCAGUCCACUGCCUUCAGUUCUUUUUCUUUCUUUCUUUCUUUUUUUUUAAUAAUUGACAGAAAUAAUUUUUUUAAAAGAUUUAUUUAUUGGUUAUAUGUAAGUACACUGUAGCUGUCUUCAGACACUCCAGAAGAGGGAGUCAGAUCUCGUUACAGAUGGUUGUGAGCCACCAUGUGGUUGCUGGGAUUUGAACUCCAGACCUUCAGAAGAGCAGUCGGUGCUCUUACCCACUGAGCCAUCUCACCAGCCCAAGUUCUUUUUCUUUCCAAACAUGCUUGUGACUGAACAAGUUUACUGGGACAGAGCAGAGAGAAGACAUUUCUAAUGAAGUGUGACUAUCUAGUCAGUGGUGACCUUAUAGCUUGGGGUUGUCUGAUAUCAGUGAGACAAUGCGAUGCAACGUCGUCUUUGUUAGGGUUUCUAUUGCUGCAACAAAUCCCCAUGAUCAAAAUCCAAGUUUGGCUUUCAUUUUGCUCAGGUUUGGGGCAGACAGGGUUUAUUUGGUUUACACUCUCAUAUUGCUGAUCAUCAUUGAAGGAAGUCAAGGCAGGAACCCAAACAGGGUAAGAACCUGGAGGCAGGAGCUGAUGCAGAGGCCAUGGAGGGGUCCUGCUUACUGGCCUGCUUAGCUAGUUUUCUAAUAGAACGUAGGACCCAGGGAUGGCAUCACCUAUGAUGGGUUGAGCCUUUUCCCAUCAACCACUAAGAAAAUGCCCUACAGGCCCGCCUAUAAUGGGAUUUGAUAGAAGCAUUUUUCUCAAUUGUGGUUCUCUCUUUGCAGGUAACUCUAGUUUGUGUUGACACAAGGCUAGCCAACACGAGUAUAUGUGUCAGUUCAUACAUGGUUCCUUAGAGCCUGUGAUGGUUAAUCUUCACCAUCAACUUGACUGGAUUUAGAAUCAACAUGGAAACACAUCCCUGUGUCUAUCAGGGUAUUUCUAGAAGGGGCUAGCUGAAGAAUGUGCAAUACAGUUUCAUGAGCUGGGGUACAGAUUGGAUGAAAAGGAGAAUGUCAGUUGAGCAUCAGCGGUCAUCUCUCUUUGCUUGCUCACAGAAACAAUGUAGCAAUGUGACGAGUCAAACAAUGUAGCAAGGUGACAAGUCUCCACAUAUUUCAGUUGCUGUGACUUCCCUGUGUGACAGAUUGUAUCUCUGUGAACUGUAAAUCUUGUCUUGAGAUGGUUAGCUUUUAUUGUCACCUUGAGGCAACUAGAAUUAGCUAGGAAGAAAGUUUUAGUAAGUUACCUUAAUCAAGUUGGCCUAUGGCUAUGUCUUUUGGGAAGUGUCUUGUCCAUUUUGGGUGACAUCCUUCCCUGGGGGUUUGGAGUCCUAAAUUAUACAAGAUAAGAAAAAGCUAGAUAAGAGAAAGUAGGCAGCAAGAUGGAUUCAUUUCUCUCUGCUGUUGACUGUGGAUAUGAUGUCACUCACUGCUGCAGUGCCUGCCUUGAUGUUCCCUUAAUAAACCCUUUCCUUUCC